UAGGGAAUCUUCCACAAUGGGCGAAAGCCUGAUGGAGCAACGCCGCGUGUGUGAUGAAGGGUUUCGGCUCGUAAAACACUGUUGUUAAAGAAGAACAUAUCUGAGAGUAACUGUUCAGGUAUUGACGGUAUUUAACCAGAAAGCCACGGCUAACUACGUACCAG
rnacentral:rRNA from 1 species